rnacentral:rRNA from 1 species
UACGGGGGGGGCAAGCGUUGUUCGGAAUUACUGGGCGUAAAGGGCUCGUAGGCGGCCAACUAAGUCAGACGUGAAAUCCCUCGGCUUAACCGGGGAACUGCGUCUGAUACUGGAUGGCUUGAGUUUGGGAGAGGGAUGCGGAAUUCCAGGUGUAGCGGUGAAAUGCGUAGAUAUCUGGAGGAACACCGGUGGCGAAGGCGGCAUCCUGGACCAAUACUGACACUGAACAGCGAAAGCCAGGGGAGCAAACGGG